CAGUGAUCAUGGAGCCCAAGAAAGUAAAAUCUGUCACUGCCUCCAUGUCUUCCCCUUCUAUUUCCCAUGAGGUCUAAUCCAUUCCCCGUUCUCCCCUUCCUUUCGUCUCAAAGCCUUCUGCAAGAACACACCGGCACCAGGGUGGUGGUAUCCAUAAGGGAGAAGGUGGUUUUGAAAAGUGCAGUCAAUAAAAUCAUACAGAGAUGCAGCAGCGAACCUCCUCAGAGUCUUUAUUUCCUUGGAGGUUCCCGAGUCUCUUAUGCAUUUGAUGCACAACUUUUUUUUACAAUUCUGAAAAAGAUCUGGAGCUGCGACAAUGGGAAAAACUCAUAUCGCUUGACUAAAUUAACUAUACAGAAAUCUACAUUCAUCCCUCCCACAAUGAGGAAGCAUAGCGAACAUAGGUCUACGCUCUAAACCUGUCUGUUUGAACCCUUCCAGGGGGCGUCAAAUCCUGCUCUUUGAAUUGCCUAGCAGAAGGGUUCAAUUUCUACACGGAAAGGGCCGCGGCUGUGGUCGACGGUACCCCCUGUCGCCAAGACUCCAUUGAUAUCUGCGUCAGCGGAGAAUGCAAGCAUGUAGGUUGUGAUCGCGUUCUCAGUUCGGACACCAAGGAAGACAAGUGCCGUGUGUGUGGUGGGGACGGGAGCACAUGUGAAACCAUCAAAGGCAUCUUCAACUCUUCACUGCCCAACGGAGGUUACAAGGAGGUGAUUUGGAUACCCAAAGAAUCGGUACACAUUGAUAUCCGGGAAGUCAACCUUCCUUUCAACUACCUUGGUGAGGAAGUGGAUAGUUCCUGCUUGGAGGAGAUGAACCUUGACCUCUGGGUUCCUAAUCUGAACGUCAGACCUUCUUUCUCUCACGUGGUCUUUCUUGCUCUUGUUCAACAAUCUCUUAUUUUUCUCAGUGACUGG